rnacentral:hammerhead_ribozyme from 1 species
AUCCAGCUGACGAGUCCCAAACAGGACGAAACGCGCGUCGAACUGGAC